rnacentral:rRNA from 1 species
UAGCAAUACAUCAGUGGCGCACGGGUGAGUAAUGUAUCGCUAAUGUACCCCGGAGCUUGGGAUAGCUGCCCGAAAGGGCAGGUAAUACCAGAUGAUAUAACCUUGUCGCAUGGCAGGGUUCUCAAAGCAGCAAUGCACUCUGGAGCAGGCGAUAUCGUAUCAGCUAGUUGGUGAGGUAACGGCUCACCAAGGCGAUGACGCGUAGCUGGUCUGAGAGGACGACCAGCCACAUCGGGACUGAGACACUGCCCGGACUCCUACGGGGGGCUGCAGUAACGAAUCUUCCGCAAUGCACGAAAGUGUGACGGAGCGACGCCGCGUGUAGGAUGAAGUCCUUCGGGAUGUAAACUACUGUCAGGGGUAAGAAAGUUCUGAUCUACCCCAGAGGAAGAGGCGGCUAACUCUGUGCCAGCAGCCGCGGUAAUACAGAGGCCUCGAGCGUUAGGCGGAAUCACUGGGCUUAAAGCGUGUGUAGGUGGAUGCCUAAGUACCUUGUGAAAUCCCACGGCUUAACCGUGGAACUGCUUGGUAUACUGGGUGUCUUGAGCCACUCAGGGGCUACCGGAACAAAUGGUGGAGCGGUGAAAUGCGUAGAUAUCAUUUGGAACGCCAAUGGUGAAAACAGGUAGCUGGGGGUGUGCUGACACUGAGACACGAAAGCCAGGGGAGCGAACGGGAUUAGAUACCCCGGUAGUCCUGGCCCUAAACGAUGUCCACUAGAUCGUGGCGGUUCUAACGCCGUCAUGGUCGAAGCAAAAGUGCUAAGUGGACCGCCUGGGAAGUACGGUCGCAA